rnacentral:misc_RNA from 1 species
AAAAUAAUCCUACCCUUUGUGAAUUUUGUUUGUUUGAAUAAUUUUUUUUUUAAAAAAUUAUUGGAGUCUUUCCCUUUUAGGUUUGCUUUUGAGUUUGUAAAAGAAUUCGAAAACAUCUAAAGGGGAUGGUCAAUAAUUUUUUUGAAAAAAGACAUUUUUUAAAAUUAAACUUUUUGUAUUCAUUUGUCUAAAAAUUAUUUUUAUAAUAUAAAAACAACUUUUGACAAUGGAUCUCUUGGUUCUCGCAACGAUGAAGAACGCAGCAAAAUGCGAUAAGUAGUGUGAAUUGCAGAAUACGUGAAUCAUCGAAUCUUUGAACGCAUAUUGCACUUUUUUAGUUUACUAAAAAAGUAUGUCUGUUUGAGUAUCAGUAAAAUAUUCUCAUAAAAAUCAUUGUGUAUUUUUAUGGUUAUGAGUGUUUUACAACGAUACAAGUUGUUUCACUUUAAAUUUUUUUUUUUUAAUAUUGAAAUUUUUCUAAUUUUAAUAAUUAAAAUUGGAUAAAAUUUUCCCGUCAAAAGGAAUAACCUAAACAAUUUUAAACGAUUAAUUUUAGCAAAAUUUUCGAAAAAAAGGAAAAUUUUAUUAAAAUAACUUGAUCUCAAAUCAGAUAAGAGUACCCGCUGAACUUAAGCAUAUCAAUAAGCGGAGGAAAAGAAACUAACAAGGAUUCCCUUAGUAACGACGAGUGAAGCGGGAAGAGCUCAAAUUUGAAAUCUUCAAGGUUUUACCUUGACGAAUUGUAGUUUAAAGAAGUGUUUUCUGCUGAAGUUUUGGUAAAAGUUCUUUGGAAUAGGACAUCAUAGAGGUGAGAAUCCCGUAUUUGACCAUUAUUUUCAGCUUUGUGAUACACUUUCAAAGAGUCGGAUUGUUUGGAAUGCAGUCCAAAAUGGGUGGUAAAUUUCAUCUAAAGCUAAAUAUUGGCGAGAGACCGAUAGCGAACAAGUACCGUGAGGGAAAGAUGAAAAGAGCUUUGAAAAGAGAGUUAAACAGUACGUGAAAUUGUCAAAAGGGAAGCGUUUGACACCAGUGUUGUUUUCUCGAAAAUCAAUUAAAAAUGGCUCGAUUUUGUAUUGCUGAGACCUUAAAAGCUCACUGUACAUUUUUCGUGUCUUUUUUAAUGCACUUUUCGUUUAACAAGUCAACAUCAGUUUCUUUUGUUGUAAAAGGGUCAUUGGAAGGUGGCUUUCUUUUCGGAGAAAGUGUUUAUAGCCUUUGGCCUCUGCAAUCGAGAGACUGAGGUCUGCAGCGUAGACUCUUCGGGUUAGAUACAUUUGUGCUAAGUUAUAGCUUUUUAUAGACAACUUGUUGACUAUAAUUAGUCUUGUAGCUUACUCGCUUAUGCUAUUUUACCUACGCUUAGGAUG